rnacentral:rRNA from 1 species
AUAUCUGAUUAGCUAGUUGGUGAGGUAAAGUCUCACCAAGGCGACGAUCUGUAGCGGGUCUGAGAGGAUGAUCCGCCACACUGGAACUGAGACACGGUCCAGACUCCUACGGGAGGCAGCAGUGGGGAAUUUUGGACAAUGGGGGCAACCCUGAUCCAGCCAUGCCGCGUGAGUGAAGAAGGCCUUCGGGUUGUAAAGCUCUUUCGGCCGGGAAGAGAUCGCAUGGGCUAAUACCCUGUGCGGAUGACGGUACCGGCAUAAGAAGCACCGGCUAACUACGUGCCAGCAGCCGCGGUAAUACGUAGGGUGCGAGCGUUAAUCGGAAUUACUGGGCGUAAAGCGUGCGCAGGCGGUUUUGUAAGACAGGCGUGAAAUCCCCGGGCUCAACCUGGGAACUGCGUUUGUGACUGCAAGGCUAGAGUACGGCAGUGGGGGUGGAAUUCCACGUGUAGCAGUGAAAUGCGUAGAGAUGUGGAGGAACACCAAUGGCGAAGGCAGCCCCCUGGGUCGAUACUGACGCUCAUGCACGAAAGCGUGGGUAGCAAACAGGAUUAGAUACCCUGGUAGUCCACGCCCUAAACGAUGUCAACUAGGUGUUGGGUGGGUAAAACCAUUUAGUACCGGAGCUAACGCGUGAAGUUGACCGCCUGGGGAGUACGGCCGCAAGGUUAAACUCAAAGGAAUUGACGGGGACCCGCACAAGCGGUGGAUGAUGUGGAUUAAUUCGAUGCAACGCGAAAAACCUUACCUACCCUUGACAUGUCCAGAAGCCUGAAGAGAUUUGGGUGUGCCCGAAAGGGAACUGGAACACAGGUGCUGCAUGGCUGUCGUCAGCUCGUGUCGUGAGAUGUUGGGUUAAGUCCCGCAACGAGCGCAACCCUUGUCGUUAAUUGCCAUCAUUUAGUUGGGCACUUUAACGAGACUGCCGGUGACAAACCGGAGGAAGGUGGGGAUGACGUCAAGUCCUCAUGGCCCUUAUGGGUAGGGCUUCACACGACAUACAAUGGUCGGUACAAAGGGUUGCCAAGCCGCGAGGUGGAGCCAAUCCCAGAAAGCCGAUCGUAGUCCGGAUCGUAGGCUGCAACUCGCCUGCGUGAAGUCGGAAUCGCUAGUAAUCGUGGAUCAGCAUGUCACGGUGAAUACGUUCCCGGGUCUUGUACACACCGCCCGUCACACCAUGGGAGCGGGUUCCGCCAGAAGUAGGUAGCCUAACCGCAAGGGGGGCGCUUACCACGGCGGGGUUCGUGACUGGGGUGAAGUCGG